CCUUUUUAAAGUAGCAAUCCAUUUUAUUUGCAACAAAUAUAUAUAUAUGAACUUUGAGAACAAACCUUCUCAAUUAGGAAACUUUCACCGAUAUCAAUUCACCGAUAUCAAAUCACCGAAACACAAGACGAUAACAUCAACACAAACAAGCAUAAAUGAACCUUGCUCAUGCAUGUAUGCAUGGUGCUUAUUUUAGAUAGAUAUACGACUGACGUUCACAACAUCUAAUCACUCCAUGGCAGUAUCGAUGUUCAAGCCAGGGUUGAAGUGAAAGACCAUGAAAAGAUGUCAUGUCUUUCCCUGCCGUCACAGAUGGUUCCACUAAAACCAACACUGACUUUCUCAGGAAGCACGGCCUUCAAAUCAAUGACUUGAGAAAUGGUGGAAAUUUGACCAUUCCCAUGAGUCACAACAACACUCAAUGUCUUAGCUAGAGAGUCAUAGAUUAUACUUACUUUCUCCAACGAUCCGGACACUCUGUUCCAUUUCACAGUCUUCAACGAAAUCAAGGAGUUAACGUCAAUUCCAAUAUGAUUAUAACUCGGGUCACACUCAUUAUUGAUGUAGCUAUCAAAUUCCACUGCAACAAACCGAUUGAAGGCAUUGUUGGGAUCAACUAUAGCGAGCGCCCCUCCACCUGAAUUGUUGGGAAUCUGAGUCCCAAAUGGCGCCAAAAAGAAGACAAGUCCAUCAGCCGGAUAACGAUUUGGAAUGUCAGUCACAAUGAAAGAGAAGGAGGUGACGAAGCUUGCAACCUCGCCAGUGGUAGAAUCCCAGAUGGGCACAGGCGUUGUGUACAAAGCACGGCUUUGUUCAAUUGAUGUAUCAUCAGGCAGGGCCAAGAUCCCAUUAUCUAAAAUCUUGGCACCACCUUGUAGGGUUAUAUUUGCGUCACCUGGGGUGAAUUUCGGGAAGUUGAAGGAAAUUUUCUUGGGGGUGGCCAUGGUUGAUGUGCUUUGUUGAUAAUUAUCAAUGUGGAGUUGAUGAUCGAUAUAUAUUUGAUAGUUUUAUGCAUGGUAUGGUGAUUAAUUACUCCUAUUUAUAGGCUAUAUUUUUAAUACUGUAUGAUGCAAAACUGCGGAUUGCAAAAUUCAAAAGAAAAAGUCAUGACUUUCUUUCCAAGGCAGCAAGUUGCUAAAGAUAUAGUAAAAGAACACGGCAGGGGUAAUUAAUACUCUCCCCAUUUUAAAAUAUAAGUUGUUUGAGUAUUUGUACUAUAUACGUACUAAAGUAUGUGCUGUUUUGCAAAUCUAAAAUAUUUUUUUUUACUUUCUUUUCUAUAUUAUCAUUUCAUAUUAUAUUUCUUUUCUAGCUACUAUCUUUAAUUUUCACAUAUCACAAUUCUCGGUAUGCACGUAACUAUAAUCACAUUACUCUGCUCUGAAUAUUAAAUAGGAUUAUUUAGUUAAAAUAAUUAAAGAGGAUUAUUUAGUUAAAAUAUUUAUUAAAUGAUGAGUUUUUAAUAUCCAUAUAUAAUCUUAAGUAACAUAUAUUUUGGAACGAAAUGAGUAACAUAUAUAGUCAUGGCACUUUAGUUCUGACACAUUUACAACUUAUUUUGAUACUAUUUUUUUCCAAAAAUAAAAAUACAACUAGUAUAUAAAUAUAUAAUAUAUGAUAAUAAAAUAUCAAAAGUCAAAACUUUGGGGGCAUGCCCACAGUGGCUCCGCCCCUUGUUACUAACUUACCACCAUCACUAGAAGCUUAUCCAAAAAAAAAAAGACCACCAUCACUAGAAAAUUUUAGUUUGUAUUCGUGUUUGAUGUGUAAUAAUUAAGUGGUUUUCUUUUCCAUUUUUUUUUUCUGAAUUAGAAAAUUGCUACUCGUGAAAGAAAUUAUUAAUCCUGCUUCAUGGCAUAUAUAAAGGAAUGAAACGUGAAAACAUUAUCAUUCUGACUUUUUAAACUACACAUGUAUUUUUAUAAUGUUGUCAUUGAAGAUUAAUGGAUAACGCAGACAUAUAUACUUGGCAAUGACAUGCCUAGAUCAAUUUGAAGAAAUUGAGAAUAUUAAAAAUAUAUAGGAGAUUUAAAUAUGGUAGACAGAUUUCAUGAUAAUAUGUGCGUUCAUGUAUAUUUCCCCAUGUAUUUGUACGAUAGGAGUUGAAUUAGAAGUAGAUAGAUUCAAUUCCCACGAUGACAAAAGCCUAUCAAAUUCUUUCAAGAUAGAAAAUACUCAAAAUAGUAUUUUUUUAACCAAGAUAGAAAAUAGUUAAGAACAUGCUAAACUGAUAAAAUAUUCUUUUAUCAUUAAGUCUAACUUUAUCUUAAAAGUUAGCUGAAGAGUAAAAAUUUAUCUAACUUAUAUAAGGACUUAUUUAAUCAUAUGUCUAAUUAAUGUGUGACUUUUUAACACAUCACAUCACAUUGAUCAUCUAUAGCAUGAAAUUUGCACAAAUGAACAUCUGCGAAUAUCUCAUCUGUGAGUAGUUAAUUUCUCAUAAACUAAUUUAGCUAGGAUGAGCUAUGAUAUCAUCUCAGAGUUUGGAUUAAGUCUAAUUAACUCCAAGAACCACCCUAACAAUUAAUGACUAAUUUAAUUAGUCAUAACUCUAGUCAAUCCGAGACUUCUUAACAUCUCAGAUAUAUUAUAUUUUUUUUCACUUUUACUGAGAUGUGUUUUUGUCAUUGUAAUGUGGUCUAUCUUAUUAUUGCAACAAGUGGAUAAACAUGAAAAAUAAAUCUAUUCACAAUCAUUUCACUCACACCCCAUAGAAAGAUAUAUAAGAAUAAGAUAGAGAAAUAACAGUAAUGAUGAGUGAUGUGAUAAGAAAAGAGUGACAAAAAGUGAAUGAGAAUGAUAUGAAAAAAUGAGUGUUGUUCUAGUCGGCACAAACAACCUCUCGGCCAACUAUUAUCCUAGACGACCCAAAUGGCCUCUCAACCCAUUGUUCUCUUGGUAAGCCCAAGUGACCACACAACCCAGUGCUCGUUGAGUUGCCUGCUGCCCAAGAUGACCAAAGAAAAAACGCUUAAAAUUGUAAAGGGAAUCAAAUUGAGUCCUUAAGAAAAAAAAAUUGCAUCAAAUUGGAUCCCUUGAAGUAUUUUUUUAAUCAAAUUAAGUCUUUUGCUCAAUUUUAACCGAUCAACGAUCUAGGGGCAAGCCUAUAGUCAGCUGAGGAUGACCACAUAGACUUUUUCACAUCAAUUUUAAUCCCUUGAAAAUAUUUUAAUCAAUUUUAAUCCAUGUUUUUCCACCUUCAUCUUCUUCCUCUUCCUCCCAUAACUCAAAUCCUUAAACCCAGAAAUUCAAAACCCUAAAAAAACUAUAUAUUCAUCACAUUCACCUUUGUUCUUCCAAAAUCUAGAAAAUCAGCGAUUUUUUUUUGUAGUGUAUGCAGUUGGUAAAAUGUUAAAAUAACUAUGGGACCUUUAUUUACUUUCAUUAGCAUUAGCUUUUAUUUCAAUUUUCCUGCAUAUGGGUAUAUGAAUCCAGUUGCUUAUUUGCUCGCUGUUGCUUGCAAUUUUUUUAAUUAACGCACAAUCAAUCUCAAUACUUUUCAAUGCAUUGUUGAAUUGGGUGCCCACUAGGGUGGGUAAGUUAUAAUCCUGGUCCACCCAUGGACCAUCCCUCAACACCAUUGGAUUAGAGAAUCUUGAAAUAUUCUUUAGAUCAACGGUUAGGAUUUAUUGGAAAUCAAAAGGGUAAAAGUGUAAAAUGUCAAACCUUCUCUUCCUCCCUCCUCCCUUCCCCAGAGAAACCCAUUCAAGUUUCAACCACCAACCUUCAUCAGACCUCCAUAACCAAGCCAAGCCCACCUUCAAUCCCUCCAUUGUCAUUCUCAAAUAAUUGCAGUUUAAAUAAACUAAUUCCAAGUACAUUCGUGUAGAAUUGUUUCAUUAUCAACACUUAUUCCAAUUCUAAACAAAGGGUACAAACGCUGCAUGAAAUGUCUUAGCUGAUGAAGACACAUUUUUAAUUGAAAGACUAUAUGUGAGCACAAGAAGAUGACAAAAGCUUGAUCAUAAUAACCAGAUCUGAAGCAAACUCAAAAUGCAUCCCGUUCCAGAAAUCAAUUUAUACAAAAAACUCAAAAGAACCUAAAAAAAUACAUAUCAGAUCUAUAGCAAAUGAGAAGGGGAUGGAAAGGAGAUGAACAACUUGAAAAAAGCUAUGAACUUGAACUUGAACCAGACCCAACAGCCGAGGAUGGUGGCAGGUGAUUCAUGAAGAGACAAUGAUGGCCUGCGUCAUGUCCUGGUUCAGACCGUGCCGAUCCUCGCAGCACACCGUCGUCGUCACCCUCCUCGGCGCUUCCCCGUCGCUGCACUUCACAGUCGCCUAGUCGGACUCCCUUGGAAACGGCCACGGUUCACCCUUCGCCGCAGAAGUAAUCGAACCAGAGGAGGAGGAUGAAGAUGUCGUGGUGGAGCUUUUCGAUUGAGAAAGGUAAAGGGAGGAGGAACAAAGAGUCUGCCAGGAAGAGGAAAGAGUAAAGGCUAAAGGGAAAGGGAAAAGACAAAGUUAUCCUCUGGUCCACAUGGACCAGGAUUAUAACUUGCCCACCCUAGUGGGCACCGUUGAAUUGCAGUUGGUUCAAGGGAUAUUUCAUUAAUUUAUGUGCAAUCUGAUUGAUAGUGAGGCAUAGUAUUUAAUUAGAUGUCAUGUGAAGCUAAACACUAGUUUGGGAUUGUGGAUCCUUUUUUCAAUUAUGAACACCUAUUUACUGUGGCUGAAUCCUUAGUUUAUAUGGGAUAUUUUUAACUAGAAUACGUUGUGUCACAGUGUGAUUCAGGUGGACAACAUUUCAAUAAUACUCAGGGUAUCCAGAAAGCUGAUAGGGGUGGUUUGGCUUAGCCUGGAACCAUUACCCCCACAAUAUAAUUCUACAUUAGGACUACUGAUGUCCCUAUAUGCAAUGUAACCAAACAUUAAUAAACGUGACUGAAUAUAAAAUGAUUAAAGGCAAAUUCAAUACAAAUCAUUAAGCAAAAAUCCAUAUGCAUGGUGCAUAUUUUAGAUAGUACUGAAGUUCACAACAUCAAAUCAUUAUAGCAUAAGUAGGGCAAAUCAUGCAGAGUUUGCAAUAACAUUUAUGUUGAGCUGUUGUUGUUCAAGGUUGAAGUGAAAGACCAUGA
rnacentral:lncRNA from 1 species